rnacentral:rRNA from 1 species
GGGUUGUGAGGUUAAGCGACUAAGCGUACACGGUGGAUGCCCUGGCAGUCAGAGGCGAUGAAGGACGUGCUAAUCUGCGAUAAGCGUCGGUAAGGUGAUAUGAACCGUUAUAACCGGCGAUUUCCGAAUGGGGAAACCCAGUGUGAUUCGUCACACUAUCAUUAACUGAAUCCAUAGGUUAAUGAGGCGAACCGGGGGAACUGAAACAUCUAAGUACCCCGAGGAAAAGAAAUCAACCGAGAUUCCCCCAGUAGCGGCGAGCGAACGGGGAGCAGCCCAGAGCCUGAAUCAGUGUGUGUGUUAGUGGAAGCGUCUGGAAAGGCGCGCGAUACAGGGUGACAGCCCCGUACACAAAAAUUCACAUGCUGUGAGCUCGAUGAGUAGGGCGGGACACGUGGUAUCCUGUCUGAAUAUGGGGGGACCAUCCUCCAAGGCUAAAUACUCCUGACUGACCGAUAGUGAACCAGUACCGUGAGGGAAAGGCGAAAAGAACCCCGGCGAGGGGAGUGAAAAAGAACCUGAAACCGUGUACGUACAAGCAGUGGGAGCACGCUUAGGCGUGUGACUGCGUACCUUUUGUAUAAUGGGUCAGC